UUUAUUUAUGCAUGAUCAUGUUGAUAUUAUAAAAUAAAGCUCAAAUUCUGUAAUCGAUCACGUACAGCACGAUUAGAGAGCCACCUAGACAUGUUUACUUUGACAUGCACGUCUAUUUAAUUUUUAUUUAGAUUGAUUUGUCGUUCGAUCAUAUAUAUAUAGCUAGGCUAGUAGCAUUACACACUAGCAUAAAUUAAACCAAUUAAAG
rnacentral:lncRNA from 1 species